rnacentral:rRNA from 1 species
GACGAACGCUGGCGGCGUGCCUAACACAUGCAAGUCGAACGCAUUUUCUUUCACCGUAGUUUGCUACCCCGUAAGAAACUGGGGGGUGAACGGGUGAGUAACUCCUCGGUAACCUGCCCAUCCGCCAGGGAACACACUCGGAAACAGGUUCUAAUACCGCAUAAUUUCAUUUGCCGCAUGGUAGAUGGACGAAUGGCGCUUUUCCCUCACUGUUGCAUGGUGUCGCGGUGCUUUUGCUUGUUGGAGGCGUUACGGCCUACCAAGGCUGCGAUGCAUAGCCGGCCUGCGAGGGUGAGCGGCCACACUGGGACUGAGACCCGGCCCAGACGCCUACGGGAGGCAGCAGUAGGGAAUCUUCGGCAAUGGGCGGAAGUCUUACCGAGCAGCGCCGCGUGAGUGAAGAAGGUUGUCGGGUCGUAAAACUCGGUUGUUAGGGAAGAAAAAGGAUGAGAGUGGAAAGUUCAGCCCUUGACGGUAUCUAACCAGAAAGCCACGGCUAACUACGUG